UCGCUCUCGCUCUCCCUCUCAUCGUAUUAAUUGUCGUGCGUGCUCCAGCAUAAUUCGAGGGAGAAGACGACACGCUGUUGAAGGGAGAGAGGAGGGAAGAGAUGCUGUUGAUUUGAACGUGCGUCGCCAGAACACGGGAUAAUACAUCGAGCUGAGGAUCUAUCUACCUGAACAAGGUGCUCCGUAUUGAAUAGGCACCUGCCGUUCUUUGACCACCCAUCACCAUCAACACCAUGUCAAAGGACCAGUGUGAAACCGUAGCAGUGAGCGUCGAGUCCCUCUUAACCGACGCAGUUAAGAUGCAGUCCCAGUGUCGGGAGCGUAGUGAGCAGCUAGCUGUGGCCGCCGCCGCUCUGCGGGAGGAGUCGGCGUGCUUGAGAGAACAGUGUCAAGCCACCCAGCUGGACAUGGCUCAGAUGAGAAGACAGCUAGAACAACUGCUGGACAGCAAAGCUCAGAUGGAGGCCAGUGAUCGAAUGCACCGCAAACUUAGCAAGACACUCUAAAGGGAAAGGAGGGGAGAGAAGGAGAGCGAGAAAAUAAGAACGGCUGGAUAACAAAGCUCCGACAGACACCCGGGAUGGUAAACUUGGCAGUUAAAAUGUAAAAAAUAUCUCCUGUUCUCUAACGCUAUCUAUCUUCUGUCCCUAAACAAUAGACUUUAUUCUUCAUAAGCAGUUAUUAUGCUAGCUAUAUAGGCCCUCAAUUCUCUUCACGGAGAUUGAAUGUUUAUAGGUCUGAAUAAAUAACUGCUAUGGUCAUUCGCGCUUCUUCUUUCAAACCCGCGAGUUUGGCUACUGUAACAUUCGACAGAAAAGAAGGAUCCUUCUAUUGGUAUAAGAAAUGCUAAAAAAAAAAUAAUACCCCAAAAAGCUAUUCUAGUUUUUCCUGCAUGGGACCAAGAGCUAAGGAGCGUUUUUUUAAAGGGGAGGCGAGCGGAGCUCAGGCGCUUGGGUAUUACGCAAGAGACAGAAGCUAUAAAUUAGAAGCUUAUUAGACAUAAUCCAUCAUUAAUUAACAUAUAUAUAAGGCUAUAAUAUAAGGCUAAUACUGAAUUGAAUGUAUUACCUGAAAGAGGUAGGCUAGGACAUUAUAUAUAAAUAUAUAUAUUUAGGGCUAGGACAUCUAUAAUUAAUGUAUAUAGGGCUAGGACAUCAUAUA